GAUGAGUUGCGAACGGGUGAGUAACGCGUAGGUAACCUGCCUUGUAGCGGGGGAUAACUAUUGGAAACGAUAGCUAAUACCGCAUAACAAUGGAUGACACAUGUCAUUUAUUUGAAAGGGGCAAUUGCUCCACUACAAGAUGGACCUGCGUUGUAUUAGCUAGUAGGUGAGGUAAUGGCUCACCUAGGCGACGAUACAUAGCCGACCUGAGAGGGUGAUCGGCCACACUGGGACUGAGACACGGCCCAGACUCCUACGGGAGGCAGCAGUAGGGAAUCUUCGGCAAUGGGGGCAACCCUGACCGAGCAACGCCGCGUGAGUGAAGAAGGUUUUCGGAUCGUAAAGCUCUGUUGUAAGUCAAGAACGGGUGUGAGAGUGGAAAGUUCACACUGUGACGGUAGCUUACCAGAAAGGGACGGCUAACUACGUGCCAGCAGCCGCGGUAAUACGUAGGUCCCGAGCGUUGUCCGGAUUUAUUGGGCGUAAAGCGAGCGCAGGCGGUUUGAUAAGUCUGAAGUUAAAGGCUGUGGCUCAACCAUAGUUCGCUUUGGAAACUGUCAAACUUGAGUGCAGAAGGGGAGAGUGGAAUUCCAUGUGUAGCGGUGAAAUGCGUAGAUAUAUGGAGGAACACCGGUGGCGAAAGCGGCUCUCUGGUCUGUAACUGACGCUGAGGCUCGAAAGCGUGGGGAGCGAACAGGAUUAGAUACCCUGGUAGUCCACGCCGUAAACGAUGAGUGCUAGGUGUUGGAUCCUUUCCGGGAUUCAGUGCCGCAGCUAACGCAUUAAGCACUCCGCCUGGGGAGUACGACCGCAAGGUUGAAACUCAAAGGAAUUGACGGGGGCCCGCACAAGCGGUGGAGCAUGUGGUUUAAUUCGAAGCAACGCGAAGAACCUUACCAGGUCUUGACAUCCCGAUGCUAUUUCUAGAGAUAGAAAGUUACUUCGGUACAUCGGUGACAGGUGGUGCAUGGUUGUCGUCAGCUCGUGUCGUGAGAUGUUGGGUUAAGUCCCGCAACGAGCGCAACCCCUAUUGUUAGUUGCCAUCAUUCAGUUGGGCACUCUAGCGAGACUGCCGGUAAUAAACCGGAGGAAGGUGGGGAUGACGUCAAAUCAUCAUGCCCCUUAUGACCUGGGCUACACACGUGCUACAAUGGUUGGUACAACGAGUUGCGAGUCGGUGACGGCGAGCUAAUCUCUUAAAGCCAAUCUCAGUUCGGAUUGUAGGCUGCAACUCGCCUACAUGAAGUCGGAAUCGCUAGUAAUCGCGGAUCAGCACGCCGCGGUGAAUACGUUCCCGGGCCUUGUACACACCGCCCGUCACACCACGAGAGUUUGU
rnacentral:rRNA from 1 species